CCGGCGACCGGCGCACGGGUGAGUAACACGUAUGCAACCUGCCCUCUUCAGGGGGACAACCUUCCGAAAGGGAGGCUAAUCCCGCGUAUAUCGGUUUCGGGCAUCCGAGAUCGAGGAAAGAUUCAUCGGAAGAGGAUGGGCAUGCGGCGCAUUAGCUAGACGGCGGGGUAACGGCCCACCGUGGCAACGAUGCGUAGGGGUUCUGAGAGGAAGGUCCCCCACACUGGUACUGAGACACGGACCAGACUCCUACGGGAGGCAGCAG
rnacentral:rRNA from 1 species